UAGUGAGUUUGAUCCUGGCUCAGGAUGAACGCUAGCGGCAGGCCUAAUACAUGCAAGUCGAACGGUGGUAGCAAUACCAUAGUGGCGCACGGGUGCGUAACGCGUAACCAACCUGCCCUGAACUGGGGGAUAGCCCGCCGAAAGGCGGAUUAAUACCGCAUAAACCAACAGAACGGCAUCGUUUAAUUGGUAAAGAUUUAUUGGUUCAGGAUGGGGUUGCGUUCCAUCAGCUAGUUGGUAGGGUAAAGGCCUACCAAGGCGACGACGGAUAGCCGGCCUGAGAGGGUGGCCGGCCACAGGGGCACUGAGACACGGGCCCCACUCCUACGGGGAGGCAGCAGUUAGGAAUCUUCCACAAUGGGCGAAAGCCUGAUGGAGCGACG
rnacentral:rRNA from 1 species